UACAUCAAGACACACUAGGGCCUCUUUGG
rnacentral:piRNA from 1 species